ACAGAGCUUACCAUUGGGAUCUGGAAAAGUUGCGUUGGGACUUUGGGCCGCUGCUGCUGCCUCUGAUGUUGAAAGCAUUCCUGUUGUUGGUGUUGCUGUUGUUGUGAUUUCUGACACUGUUGUUGUCGUCGUCUGUGUUGUUGUCGGAUCAGAAACUGCAGAUAUAUUACAAAACAGAGGGGAUGGGGGGGGUGGCAAUAAAUGCAAUGUACGUUUGAGUGUAGCAAUAAGAUGUCAUAGCAGCGGUGGUUUUUACCACUACUAGUAAUUAGUGGUACAUUUAGAUUUGCACAAUCUAACCACCUUUCUGUCUUUCUGUAAAUGAUCUAAAGUUGAUCGAUUGUAAUCCUAACCGUUGGGGCAGUCAGGUUUUUAGUGAAUUACACACAAGUGCAAGUGGUCCUGUACUACACCCUCAUGCAAGUGAGCCCUUGCAUUAUUGCACUGAAAGGUUAAGGCGGGAGGUAAUCCGGUCCGUGAGAAAAUAUCAUGUCUUCAUUGUAUCUAACAUAACCUGCCGGCUUUCACUGUCGUAAAUAAACAGCCCGCAGCCGCCACAGGCGGUUGCUGUCGCGGUAUUCCUGCUCAGCAGCCCGUGCCGGUCAGAGCAGAGAGCACACAGCAUCUCUGUCACCGUAAAAGUGUGGGAGACCGAGACCUCCAGUCAUGCAACAGCAGUAUCAACACGGACCUCUAAAUGGAAUGUGUUACUCACCAGCACAUUGUUUUCGUACAUCGAGUAUUUCGGACACGUUUUCUGAACAAAAAGAUAACAAAUAGUAAAUAAAAGGAACACACAACAGAAAAAGGAGUGUGUUUUAGUGCUCAUCACCUCAAACCCAGCAUAACAAUCAGAGCACAGGAGGCAUACUCACCGUAGUUGCAGGCUGUGACGCCAGAAAGAAAGAAAGAAAAUGAUGAGGCUCAAUAUAUUUUUUUAAAGUCUUCACUAACAUGCUUUGACACAAUAGUUCAAUAACUAUUGUUAUUUUGAACAAUAAUUAGAGUGCAAAAAUAUUUUGUGUCAAUUUAUAAAGCGACCUCUUUUGCAUGAACUUUAAACAAUCCAAACAAAGGCCUGUGCUGUCGCGUCGUGAUUCAUGCUUUGGCAGCGCAAAAGGUGCUGUUUAUUUUUGCAUCAAUAUCAGUGGCUCACAGGCUUCCAUCCACUAGCUUAGCAUAGAGUUCGGAGGACAUGCUGAGCGAAAAAAAAGGAAUGCAGGUGCCAGCAGACUAUUUCUAUUGAGGGGAGGAGAGUAGUAUCUGUAUGUGAAGUACCUCGAGAAACGUGGUCGAACCUUCCGGAUAUCAAACACAUGAUGUGAGAGAAAUGGACUUUCACAGAUUUUUGCUCUAAACACUCGGGAAGUAUCUCGUCCUCUAUU
ensembl:lncRNA